rnacentral:lncRNA from 1 species
UAUAAUAAUGCUUGUAAAAUGUUAAACAGGAGCACCAGCAUCCACAGCUGCCUGAGGAGAAACAUCAGCAGAAAGCAAAACAAUUAAUGUAAGUAAAGUCUCUCAUUAGCACAGAAAGACACUGAAGUAAUGUUUAAUGUAAAAAUAGAGGUGAUUUUAUACUAAUGCCUGUAAAAUGUUGGACUGGAACAACGGCAUCUACUGAUGGAGGAGGAUGAUGAAGAUGGAGGACAGGAGCACCAGCAUCCACAGCAUCCUGAGGAAACAUCAACAGGGGACAGAAAGACUUCUAUUCACCAAAACAAUGAGUGCCAGCAUCCACUGAUGGAGGAGGAGGAUGAAGAAGAUGGAGGACAUUAGCACCAGCAUCCACAGCUGCCUGAGGAGGAAACAUCAACAGAAAGCAAAACAAUCAAAACAAUUAAUGUAAGUAAAGCCUCUCAUUGGCACAGAAAGACACUGAACUAAUGUUUAAUGUAAAAAUAGAGGUGACUUUAUACUAAUGCCUGUAAAAUGUUGGACUGGAACAACGGCAUCUACUGAUGGAGGAGGAGGAUGAUGAAGAUGGAGGACAGGAGCACCAGCAUCCACAGCAUCCUGAGGAAACAUCAACAGAGGACAGAGACUUCUAUUCACCAAAACAAUCAAUAGUUUUGCUUCAGAGGAGAAUCAGACAGUUCCAGAUGUUCGUCACCAGCACUGCAGUGUUUACACAGACUGCUUUGGUUUCAACUUUCUACAAAAAACUUUUGAAUUUUCAACUCACUUUCCAUCAGAAUCCAAGCUCAUCUUCAUCACUGGGAUGUUUCUUCAUCAGUUCUUCAUACAGACUGACACAGUUCACACAUGGAGAAGAUGAUUUAUGGAAUAUGACAUUUAGACUUUUCCUUUUCUCAACAGUAUGAUGCAUACAUCCCAACCCAAAUUUAAUGCAUUUUUUUGGCUUAACUUGAGACAAUUUCUAUCAAUAAAUUGCUAAUGUAUUAUUAUUGACUAUUAAUA